rnacentral:rRNA from 1 species
ACGGGAGGCAGCAGUGAGGAAUAUUGGUCAAUGGGCGGAAGCCUGAACCAGCCAAGUCGCGUGAAGGAUGAAGGUAUUAUGUAUUGUAAACUUCUUUAGCAGUGGAGUAAUAAGGGGAUCGUGAUCCCUGAUGCAAGUACACUGAAGAUAAGGAUCGGCUAACUCCGUGCCAGCAGCCGCGGUAAUACGGAGGAUCCGAGCGUUAUCCGGAUUUAUUGGGUUUAAAGGGUGCGCAGGCGGCUUUUUAAGUCAGCGGUAAAAUCGUGGGGCUCAACCCCAUCCUGCCGUUGAUACUGGAGAGCUUGAUUGCGGUUGAGGUUGGCGGAAUUCGUCGUGUAGCGGUGAAAUGCAUAGAUAUGACGAAGAACUCCGAUUGCGUAGGCAGCUGACCAAUCCGCAACUGACGCUCAGGCACGAAAGCGUGGGGAUCGAACAGGAUUAGAUACCCUGGUA